ACAUUGAACCAACCAACACGAAUACCUGAUUCCUGAAACAGGCAGUAGCGUGCCGGCUUACGCGCACGUCGGACGUGUGUUCUGUUUCUUCAGAUUUUACCUCGUGUUCGAACCACGUGAACAGUGAUUAUAAUAAAGAUGGCACGAUUACCUCAACUAACAACGGUGAUAGCGGUGGCACUGUCCUUAUCUUCGUGCAGCAUUGUAUCAUCACCGGGAAGUGAUGGGACCUUCGAGCUGUUAAUAAUUCAUAAUAAUGACAUGCAUGCCCGGUUUGAACAGACCUCACAGCUGAGCGGGGCCUGCACCACGGCUGACAGAGACGCCGGCAAAUGUUACGGUGGAUUUCCGAGAGUAGCUACUGUAGUUAAGGAAGCUCGGAAAGCAGCUGCCUCAGGUCAAGGACCACCUGUGUUAUAUCUUAAUGCUGGAGACACCUACACAGGAACCGCCUGGUUCACAAUAUACAAAUGGAAGAUUGCUGCUGAGUUCCUCAAUGCUCUAGAACCAGAUGCCGUCUCACUGGGAAAUCAUGAGUUCGACAAUGGUAUUUCAGGAUUAAUACCAUAUAUAGCAAAUUUAUCAUGCCCAACACUCGCUGCCAACCUCAUCCUCGAUGACGAGCCUGAAUUAAAAGCACAAGAAAAAUUAAGAAAUUCAGUCGUCUUUGACAUUAAUGGAGUCAAAAUCGGCGUAAUAGGAUAUCUAACACCAGAUACAAAAGUUUUAUCUUCAAAAAAUAAUGUUAAAUAUAUUGACGAAGUAACGGCUAUCAAGGAUGAAGUAAAGAAAUUGAAUGGGGAAGGUGUGAAUAUUUUAAUCGCAUUAGGUCAUUCUGGUUUCCUUACUGAUUUAAAAAUUGCUCAAGAAGUUAAUAGCAUUGACCUUGUUAUUGGUGGACAUACAAAUACAUUUUUAUGGAAUGGUAAAGCACCUGAUAGUGAAACUCCACAAGGACCAUAUCCCAAAUUAGUGAAACAAUCGUCAGGAAGAGAAGUGCCCGUGGUACAAGCAUACGCAUAUACAAAAUAUUUAGGGCAGCUGAAGAUAGUGUUUGAUUCAAAUGGAGAAAUUAUUGGUUUCAAUGGCAAUCCUAUUUUACUGAACAAUUCAAUUCCUCGAGACCCUGACGUAGUCACAAUCGUUGAAAAAUAUCGCGAGAAUGUGAUGAAAGUUUCAGAGAUUUCAGUUGGUAACACUGCAGUACUCUUAGAUGGGAGUUCGUGUCGUUUACGCGAAUGUAACAUGGGAAAUUUAAUAACUGAUGCAUUAGUCUAUAAGUUUGCCUCAGACUACCAAGGAGUAGGUUGGACGGAUGCUCCUAUAGCCGUUAUGCAAGGUGGUGGAAUCCGAGCGACUAUUAACCACGUGAAUGAUGAGUCAGAUAUAACACAGGGCGACUUACUAACGGUGAUGCCGUUCGAUGAUAGAGCUGUGAAGGUGGCUAUGAGUGGUUCUGACAUUCGUAAAAUGUUAGAACAUUCAGUUGCUGAAUAUAAUGUCAUUCGUGCACCAGGACAAUUUCUGCAAUUCUCAGGAAUGAAGGUUGAAUACGAUUUUCAGAAAAAAUCUGGGGAAAGGGUUUUAAGAGCACAAAUUUUGUGUGGAGAUUGUAUAUUACCAGAAUAUUCUAUGUUGAAUGACAGUGCGGUAUAUAACAUUCUCAUUAAUGGUUUCUUGUCAAUGGGAGGAGACGGUUUCUCGGUUUUCGUUGAUAAACCCCAAGAUUACUUAAACUUUAAUGACCUUUCCGCUACCAUCGAAUAUAUUAAUAAGACAAGCCCUAUAUUUCCUGCAAUAGAAGGGCGUAUAAUUAUUCAUAACGAAAUGGCUAUUAGUUCCGCAUAUACAAAAACAUUUUCGUUAACAAUGUUGAGCUGUUUCAUAAUUGUACGAAUAUUUAUAUAAUUUGAUUACUUGUUACAUUAUUAUAUCCUCUAUCGGUCACAUUUGAGAUAAGGUGGUAAUACCCUUUUCCUUUUUUAAAACACUUUAGUCAAUGAUUGGUGCGAAAAAACGGUUUGUGUGCACGACCAUUUGAAGGCCACACGAUAGAAAAUCAUUCUAAGGAUUUAGUAAAAUUUUCACUUCUAUCUUAUAGUCUUAAACACACACUGUUUUUUUUUUCGAAAUGAAAGAACAAGCAGUUGAUCCAUCUGAUUUUAAGGGGAAUGCUUAGCCCUAAUAGUAACAAUAACAUUAAAACGCAUACGGGACGACCCAGUUAAGGCGACACUAAAUGCCAGCGACCUUGAGCGAUAUGAGUUCACGGCUGCCGGCCCACCAUCUAUGUAACAAAGCCAAUAUUUUCAAUAUUCUUGGGUGGAAAACAGUUUUUAUGUUUACAAUCCUCGUUAUUCACUACUAAUCUGAAUAAAUGGACCUACACAAAAAAGUACAAGCUAGAAGUAUAACUUUUCUGAGAGAAGUACCAAAAAAAUGCGUCACGUCAUGCCAAAAAACUUGUUUAACUUCAAACAAAAGCGAUAGUUCAAAAAGGCUCGGCAGUAUUAACUAUAACCAACAGCAAGCAUUAGCAACCUACAAAUAAGACUUAAGGAUAUGUGUAACAGGAUUAAGUAGUGUUCAUAGCUCGAAAUGCUAUACUUUCACCACAAAACUUGUCUAAAAACACCAUGUUUGCGUGUUUUCUGCUUACUCUUCGCCUUAACGCGAUACGACACCUAUCGAACCUUACUGCGCUCACCUCGGUGAGAUUUGACUCCUUUGGAUGGAGUCAAGAGUAAUUAAUUGCACCAGCACGACGACUGACAAACCACAACACUUUUUAUGUGAUAGAAGGAUACACCAGCAUACAUAUCCACAGUCACCUGAUGGUAAAUGAUCACUCCAGUACUCUCUAUAACAACAGAGGAAUCUCUCUCCUGAGGUCCAGAGGACCUUUUUUUUAUGGAAUAGUAGGACAGACGAGCGUACGGGUCACCUGGUGUUAAGUGAUCACCGCCGCCCACACUCUCUUGCAACACCAGAGGAAUUACAAGAGCGUUGCCGGCCUUUAAGGAAGGUGUACGCGCUUUUCUUGAAGGUACCCAUGUCGUAUCGUCCUAGAAACACCGCACAAGGAAGCUCAUUCCACAGCUUCGUAGUAUGAGGAAGAAAGCUCCUUGAAAACCGCACUGUAGAGGACCGCCACACAUCCAGAUGGUGGGGAUGAUAUCGUAAGUUGUGGCGUGUCGUGCGAAGGUGAAAUUCGGCGGCAGGAAUCAGGUGGAACAGCUCUUCGGAACACUCCCCGUGAUAGAUGCGGUAGAAGACACACAGUGAAGCGACGUCUCUACGCAACGCCAAGUGAUCCAGCCGUUCACAGAGCGCUAGGUCCCCGACAAUUCGAGCUGCUCUGCGUUGCACGCGGUCUAAUAAAUCGAGCUGAUACUGGGGUGUGCCAGACCAGAGAUGACAGCAAUACUCCAUGUGAGGCUGGACCUGCGCUUUGUAGAGCGCUAGAAUGUGGGCCGGCUUGAAGUAUUGCUGUGCUCUAUUUAUGAUGCCCCGGUUCUUCGAAGCCAAUUUGGCUUUGCCCUCCAGAUGGCCACGGAAUUGGCAAUCGUCGAAUAAACGUACUUAAGAAUACAAAAACACAUUGGUACGUGGCGGGCGAGCGUCGAACCGGGUGCUCCAUGGUGAGUGUCAACGGUACUACCAAUAGGUAAAAGGCGGAAUACCGUCACGGACCUUUCUGUUAAAAGGCAUUAAAAGACAUUCCGCGUCCAUUCUGCUUUAGCGGCAAACCAGCAUAAAAUGAGGUUAAAUGUGUUUUUAUUAUGCGAAUGCUAUAGAGAGCGUUCGGCGCUGUUCCGCCGCGUACAGCGCUGUUCGCCGUCGAAUGCGGCGGAACAGCUCUUUACAGGGAUGGUUCGCGACUCCUUGUAGACAAGUUGCGACCUGUAUUGUUCCUGCAUUGAUUUGACGUAAUCAUUAUGCACGCAAAGAUUAAAGAGAGCAGACGUGAUUUAAAGUUAUUAUUCUCGUUCUUACGACGCCGUACGCGGCUGAUAGAAGCUGAGCUGUAUAAGUGUGACCAAAAACGUUCAGCAAAACGCGAAUGGAGCUGAAUAAGUGCGUGUACCUUCCCUUACGGGGAAGUUUACCAAGAAUACUGACAGCAUUACCGCGAUGGGUACAUAUAGCUAAGCUGAUCCUUUGGCAGUUGUUAUAUCUCUUACACACAACUAUUUCAAGAUAUCAAUGGUGUAGCGGGUUACUUCCCCACACUAACACUUCAGGCACACUUAUUUCUACAGCUGUUAGUAUUGAAUAGAGAUUAUCAUAAAACCAAAAAAAACAGGCGAUAUAGCAGCAACAGCAAGCGGCGGAAGAAAAUGUAGCUUACAGUUUCAGUACCUAGCUGUCGUUAAGACAUGAGGUAGGUAAAUCUUUGGGGGAGGCCUUUGUCCAGCAGUAGACGUCUGGCUGAUAAUAAUAUAAUGAAGCUGAAUAAUUGCUACGGGCCCCGUUCGACAGGGGGCCCCUCAUAUUUAAACCCACUCAUCUCUGCUUGAGAGUAUUUUUUUUAAUGAAACUUAUUAUGAUGUGGUAUCAAAGGAAUUUGUUAUUUUUAAAGUAAUAUCCUUUACUUCUGUAAUUAAUUAAAUAAAAUUUGUAACCAAAAUUUAUGAACGAUGCGGAACUCGAACCCAAGCGCUCUGUGGCUCUUCCGCUGAGUCAGCCGUUCGAGGACGUAUAGUAAAAUUUAAUUUAAUUAAUUCCAGAAGUGAAGGAUUUCCCUUUAAAAAUAAGAAAUUGUUAAGAUUUGGAACAGCGACUUCUCAUGUCAAUUUCCUAAAAUGCAAUUAUUGGGGUUGGGCAGGUUAUCGACUGUAAGUUGAUCCCGUAGAUGAAGCCACAAUCUGAUAGUUGAACAAGACAUACCUAGAUUUAUGAACGAUGCGUCACUCGAACGAUUGGCUCAAUGGUAGAACACUCGGAACGCGAGAGGUCGCGGGUUCGAGUCGCGCUUCGUUCAUAAAUUUUCGUUACAAAUUUAAUUUAAGAUUUGGUAUUUUUAAUUUAAUUGAUGUCACAAAACCAUUACAACUAUUUCUGUUAAGACAAUCCACGUCAGACACUCGGUAACACACUAUUUCCAAUAAGAUUAAGUGCUAGAAAAAAAAAACUACGGGCCCUGCGCUUGUUUAAUGCGGCACUGCAUGCCGAGCGGUCUUAUGCCUCUUUAUCCUGGACUAUAAGGCCCGGUAUCCACCAAAGCGGCCUGGAGAGGAGAUAUAUUUUAGUAACCAAUCAGAUUUCGUUGUUUCCACAUCUCGUCUCCGCUUAGCUUUGGUGGAAAUGGAUCAAGCGGGGGGGAGAGGAGGUGUCACAUUUGUCUAUUAGGUUCUCAACGUGGGCGAUAACGCCCCCUUGUGGGCGUUUGAGACUUUCGGUGGGGCAGUAGAAGACCCAGAGAAAAUUAGGGGGCAUUGAGAUGGCCCAGAUGGGGCGUGGGUAGAUUAAAAAAUAUAGUCUAAAAAGGCAAAAAAAUACUCUAGAAAAAACCAUAUUCUCAAAGUGGGCGGUGAACAAAAUAAGGUUGAGAAAUUAUGAUCUAAAUAAGUCAAACUAAGUAAUACUAGCUCAAAAAUUGUAAAUAGGUGCGUCUACUCGACUCAAGAUGAGUAUUUUGAUGUAUUAUUUUGUAUUUUGCUAUUUUCGGUGACUUCGAUUUUGCUAAUGUCAAAAAAAUAUUGGGAUUCUUGAUAAAUAUCAAAAAUUUUUAACGACACUACAAUUGCGCUCGUCACCUUAAGACAUAAGAUUCUAAUUUGCCCAGUAAUUUCACUAGCUACGGUGCCCUUCAUACCGAAACAAUAAUGUUUAAACAUACUGCUUCACGGCAGAAAUAGGCGCCAUUGUGGUACCCGUAAUCUAGCCGGCAUCCUGUGCAAAGGAGCCUCCCAUUGGUACGGAAUAUACGGCUUAUACAAAACGCUGAACCAAGUCCAAACCGAGCUACUGGUACAGUUGAAGAAUAUUCACUUUAUUCAUCUCAAAUAUUUGAAUACUCUAUUGGAUGAGACUUAAUUAUCAUUAUAUUGAAGCCAUUCUGUUUUCUACUGAACAUCAUACAAAUUAAAUUUAAAAACAAGAUUUACGAACGAUGUGGGACUCGAACCCGUGACCUCUUUCACUCAGCCAACCGUUCGAGUGACGUAACGUUCAUAAAUCUUGGUAUGUCUUGUUCAACUUUCAGGUUGUGGCUUCAUCUACAGGACCUACUUUACUGUUCAACCCCAAUAUUUGCAUAUUAGGAAAUGGACUUGCGACGUCGCUCUUUCAAAUCUAAACAAACAAUCGCGGGUUCGGGUCCGUUUGUUUUUGAAUUUAAUUUGUGUAAUAAAUCCCAGAAGUGAUGGUUAUCACUUAAAAAAAAAACAAAUUGUUUACUGAACAUAAUAUUAAUCGCUUCUAGAUUUCCAUAUAUAUUUUUGAGACAUUCUUAUUUUUUAUUAAAUAUUUCUCAGCCAAACUGUAGUCGUACUGUUUUUAUUUAAAUAUAAACUUUUGAAAGUUUUAGUAGAAUAUUCUUUUUAGUUUAGUACUGAAAAUAUAUAUAACAGAGGGUUGGCAGGAUUCAGUUCGUAAAUUCGAUUAUAUGAUGACCUACCAUGAAAGUUUACCUAAUUUUUAUUUAUGAUUUUAUAAAUGUAUUGUUUUGGAAAUUAUAAAAAUUUUAUUCUGCGACAUAUUAAAUUAAUUGUUUAUUAGGCAUAAUGUGUAAUGAAAUUAUUUAUUUUGAUUUAUGAUUUUAAUGUGUCGGUUUCAUAAUUACUAUCUAAGGCUGAGAUCAUUUAUACGUCUAGAAAGACUGUGGCGGCUGUGAAAACGUCAAAAAAAUUGAGGUUGACAGUUGAGUUCUGUUUUGAGCAAUGCGCACACACUAACACUGGAUAGUGACAUACCGAAGAACGACGUACCUUGCCAUGCACACUAAAGUAAUAAAUCUGGUCUGUUUUCAUCAGUAAUCUAGCAGCAAGAGGCUCUAUCUAGAUGUAUAAAUUAUCUAGGAAAUAAGGCUAUAACGCAGAUUAUGGGUCACAUAAUAUGUACUAAUAUUAACGUCAGACUGAAAUGCAAAAUGGUUGUCAGUUGUCACUUGGUAUUUGUUCCACGCGACAGUAGCGCCACCACGCGACAGCAGCGCCACCACGCGGCGUGUUUCGUACCUACUCUGCCUCUCACCUUAGAGUACGUAAUAUGAAGCCGACAUAAGUUUGAAUAGUAAUAUUUGUAUGUGUUUGUAUCUAGUGUUGAAUAUUUUCAAUGUACAAUAAAUAAUAAUAAUCGAUUUGUUCCGUGUUGUAUGUUGUCGAGUCUCAUUCAAUGAAAUUAAUCCUGUACACGUUAUUGUUGUUCUAUAAUUAUUUAAUCAGAAUAUCGCUUGACAUUAUAUUGUUCAUAAAUUGCAUAAUAAAUAUCUUCGGACAUA